AGCAUCUCAAUGAGAGGAUUGGUAUUAAUUUCCUCAUCAUUUGAUUGACUGAUAAUCAGCUUUCAUCAUUUCAUAGACCCAGACAAGUUGGCAACCAGUGCACAGUGAACCUGCUUCACACAUGCUGAUUUGGCCUUUUAUAGAGGAGAAAAUAUAUGAACCCAGCAGCCACCCCAAAAAUUGUCUGCUGAAACAUCAUGUUUCCAGAUAAAAGAAUCAUUUAAUGACUUGCAAGUAAAUCAAAAUGGAAAGAGGAGAGAAUAUAUGGACAGAAAUAUUUUUACAUUAGCACAAGAAGCUGCAUGGCAGAUUUAGAAAGAAGAGUGAUUUCUCAGCAAAAUACUAGUAUGGGCAACAAGGUGAGAAUAAAAGCUUCAAAAAACUGGCAAC